GAGGGUCUAGCUCAAGUGGUAGAGCGCAUGCUUAGCACACAAGAGGUUCUGGGUUUAAUCCCCAGUACCUCCU
rnacentral:tRNA from 1 species